UACGGGGGGGGCAAGCGUUGUUCGGAAUUACUGGGCGUAAAGGCUCGUAGGUGGCCAACUAAGUCAGACGUGAAAUCCCUCGGCUUAACCGGGGAACUGCGUCUGAUACUGGAUGGCUUGAGUUUGGGAGAGGGAUGCGGAAUUCCAGGUGUAGCGGUGAAAUGCGUAGAUAUCUGGAGGAACACCGGUGGCGAAGGCGGCAUCCUGGACCGACACUGACACUGAGGAGCGAAAGCCAGGGAGCAACGGG
rnacentral:rRNA from 1 species